UACGUAGGCAGCAAGCGUUGUUCGGAGUUACUGGGCGUAAAGAGUGCGUAGGCGGUCUUUUAAGUUUGGUGUGAAAUCUCCCGGCUCAACUGGGAGGGUGCGCCGAAAACUGGAAGGCUCGAGGAUGGGAGAGGCAUGCGGAAUUCCUGGUGUAGCGGUGAAAUGCGUAGAUAUCAGGAGGAACACCUGCGGUGUAGACAGCAUGCUGGACCAUUUCUGACGCUGAGGCACGAAAGCGUGGGUAGCAAACAGG
rnacentral:rRNA from 2 species